rnacentral:rRNA from 1 species
AGCGAACGCUGGCGGCAGGCCUAACACAUGCAAGUCGAACGAACCUUUCGGGGUUAGUGGCGGACGGGUGAGUAACACGUGGGAACGUGCCUUUAGGUUCGGAAUAACUCAGGGAAACUUGUGCUAAUACCGAAUGUGCCCUUCGGGGGAAAGAUUUAUCGCCUUUAGAGCGGCCCGCGUCUGAUUAGCUAGUUGGUUGAGGUAAUGGCUCACCAAGGCGACGAUCAGUAGCUGGUCUGAGAGGAUGAUCAGCCACAUUGGGACUGAGACACGGCCCAAACUCCUACGGGAGGCAGCAGUGGGGAAUCUUGCGCAACGGGCGAAAGCCUGACGCAGCCAUGCCGCGUGAAUGAUGAAGGUCUUAGGAUUGUAAAAUUCUUUCACCGGGGACGAUAAUGACGGUACCCGGAGAAGAAGCCCCGGCUAACUUCGUG